UACGAAGGGGCCUAGCGUUGUUCGGAAAUACUGGGCGUAAAGCGCACGUAGGCGGAUUUGUUAGUCAGGGGUGAAAUCCCGGGGCUCAACCUCGGAACUGCCUUUGAUACUGCAAGUCUCGAGUCCGAUAGAGGUGGGUGGAAUUCCUAGUGUAGAGGUGAAAUUCGUAGAUAUUAGGAAGAACACCGGUGGCGAAGGCGGCCCACUGGAUCGGUACUGACGCUGAGGUGCGAAAGCGUGGGGAGCGAACCGG
rnacentral:rRNA from 1 species